AGUCAGACGCUGCAGCCGUCCAAGGCGCGCCGCCAGCCGCCGGGUUUGAGGUCCUGAGUCUUGCUCCGUGCAGCCAGCGCUGCCCACAGGGCCUCUUUGAGAGGGACUCCAUCUCCACUCCACCUUCUCCUUCGGGAACACGUGGAUGGAGGUGAUGAAACAGCUGAAGUUGAUCACAAUGCUAAAAGAAAACCAAAAAACUCCUACUUAAAUGGAAGGACUUUUAGGUGAGACGAAUCAGUCAACUGUUCCCACCUGUACCAGCCGGAGGAACGAUAAAACAGAUCGGAAGGAAUCUCACCUCUGCAUCUGAAAGGACUGGGCUAAAGCACACAAGCUGCAGACACCGUGGCCGCGAGUCUUCCUGUGAUUUUCAUCUACUGGUGACAUGAACAGAGCGGGAAGAUGCGGGCCCCGGCUGACCCUGAAGUCCUGGCUUUCUUCUGCGGUUCCCGUGCGCAGCACACCCAGGACUUUCUGUCCGUUUCUGGUGUCCGAGUGGAUGGAGCCCAGCUGGCCUGCUGCCUCCUAAUAACCUUGUAAUGACUCUUCGGAUUCUUGGAGACAAUUAGUGUGACUCCUGAGCCAUCGCAUCA